rnacentral:rRNA from 1 species
UCCGGGGGGGGCAAGCGUUGUUCGGAAUUACUGGGCGUAAAGGGCUCGUAGGCGGCCAACUAAGUCGGACGUGAAAUCCCUCGGCUUAACCGGGGAACUGCGUCCGAUACUGGAUGGCUUGAGUUCGGGAGAGGGAUGCGGAAUUCCAGGUGUAGCGGUGAAAUGCGUAGAUAUCAUUUGGAACGCCAAUGGUGAAAACAGGUAACUGGGAGUGUGCUGACGCUGAGACACGAAAGCCAGGGGAGCGAACGGG